AUGGACAUGGCUAUCGUCCUCCUCCUUCUUCUCCUUCCUUUUGUUGGUGCCGAAUGGCAAGUCUGCGGCGGCAGCAGCGGCAACUACACAUCAAACAGCACCUACCAAGCCAACCUCCUGCUCCUCUCCUCCACCCUUCCCAACAAGGCCGUGUCCAACACCACACUCUUCGCCACCGCCACGGCCGGCCAUGAUCCGGACAUCGUCUACGCCCUCGCGCUUUGCCGCGGGGACACCAUCGAUGCCUCCGACUGCGAGACCUGCGUGGCUGCCGCCUUCCCUGAUGCCCAGCAGAUCUGCCCAUACAAUAAGGACGCCACCUUGUACUAUGAUGCCUGCAUGCUCAGGUUCUCCAACCAUAAUUUUCUUGUUGCCAACAGCACCCAAGAUCAGAUGAGCUGGAUCACCCUCCGGAACAACCUCAACUUCACCACAGGCGGCGACUCCGCCAAGCACCUGCUGUUGAUGCGUCUCAACAGCACGGCCCAAGCGGCUGCAAACAGCUCCAGGAGGUUCACCACCUCGCGCUUAGGCAUCAACCUCAUCCCCACGGUGUACUGCCUCAUGCAGACACAACUCACGCAAGAGGGUGUUGCUGAUUAUUGCUGUGGUGGCUUCACUACUGUCAAUACUUCUAUGCUUUAUCUGUUCCGUUGUAUGGAUGAGAAGACGAAGACAAGCCAGCCAGGAAAGGUAAACUUAAACGACCAGGCUGCCACCAAUAGACUGGAAGAAGAUGAACUGGUCUGGAGAUUAGAGGAGAAGAGUUCAGAGUUCACUCUCUUUGACUUUUCUGAGAUAUUACAUGCUACACAUAACUUCUCCAAAGAAAAUCUACUUGGACAAGGUGGUUUUGGCCCUGUCUACAAGGGCCAAUUACCAGAUGGAAUGCAAAUUGCAGUCAAAAGGCUUGCCUCACAUUCAGGACAGGGUUUUAUAGAAUUCAAAAAUGAAGUUGAACUUAUUGCAAAAUUACAGCACAAUAAUCUUGUCAAGCUCUUGGGAUGCUGCAUUCAGGGAGAGGAAAAACUAUUGGUGUACGAGUAUUUGCCAAAUAAGAGCUUGGACUUCUUUAUAUUUGAAAGAAACAGGACAGCUUUUAUUGAUUGGAACAAUAGACGUGCGAUAAUCGAAGGGAUAGCCCAAGGUCUUCUGUAUCUCCACAAGCACUCUCGGUUACGCAUCAUACACAGAGACCUUAAGGCCAGUAACAUUCUUUUGGACAAGGACAUGAAUCCAAAAUUUUCUGAUUUUGGCCUAGCAAAAAUAUUCAGCUCCAAUGAUAUCCAAGGAAGCACAAAGAGGGUAGUAGGAACAUAUGGUUAUAUGUCUCCGGAGUAUGCAUCUGAAGGCAUUUACUCAAUCAAAUCAGAUGUGUUCAUCUUUGGUGUGUUACUCCUUGAGAUCCUUAGCGGAAAAGGGAAUUCUGGUUUCUAUCAGUAUGGAGACUUUCUUAACCUUAUUGGAUAUUCAUGGCAACUAUGGGAAGGAGGAACAUGGGUUGAGCUUCUAGAUGCAUCAAUUGUAAAGGAGAUCUGUACAUCAGAUGCUAGGCGGUACAUUAACAUUGCACUGACGUGUGUACAAGAAAGUGCAGAUGAUCGACCCACCAUGUCAGAUGUCGUUGCAAUGUUAAACAGCGAGAGUGUUAUUCUUCCAGAUCCAAAUCAACCUAACGGUAUCUAA
rnacentral:rRNA from 1 species